GGGCGCUGGAACGUCUGGGAUCGG
rnacentral:siRNA from 1 species